ensembl:snRNA U4 U4 spliceosomal RNA
AGCUUUGCGCAGUGGCAGUAUCGUAGCCAAUGAGUUUAUCCAAGGUGCGAUUAUUGCUAAUUGAAAACUUUUACCAAUAACCCACCGUGAGGACUUGCAAUAUAGUUGGCAUUGGCAAUUUUUGACAGUCUCUAUGGAGA